rnacentral:rRNA from 1 species
CCUACGGGAGGCUGCAGUGAGGAAUAUUGGUCAAUGGUCGGGAGACUGAACCAGCCAAGCCGCGUGAGGGAUGAAGGUACAGAGUAUCGUAAACCUCUUUUGUCAGGGAACAAAGGCGGGGACGUGUCCCCGGAUGAGUGUACCUGAAGAAAAAGCAUCGGCUAACUCCGUGCCAGCAGCCGCGGUAAUACGGAGGAUGCGAGCGUUAUCCGGAUUGAUUGGGUUAAAAGGGUGCGCAGGCGGUCUGUUAAGUCAGCGGUCAAAGCCCGGGGCUCAACCCCGGCCCGCCGUUGAAACUGGCAGUCUCGAGUUGGAGAGAAGUAUGCGGAAUGCGCGGUGUAGCGGUGAAAUGCAUAGAUAUCGCGCAGAACACCGAUUGCGAAGGCAGCAUGCCGGCUCCACACUGACGCUGAGGCACGAAAGCGUGGGUAUCGAACAGGAUUAGAUACCCGAGUAGUC